rnacentral:misc_RNA from 1 species
GGAAGUAAGAGUCGUAACAAGGUUUCCGUAGGUGAACCUGCGGAAGGAUCAUUAUUGUAUAACCGAGGUGCGAGGGCUGUCGCUGACCCGAAAGGUCGUGCACGCCCGAGUGCCCUCACACACAUCCAUCUCACCCCUAUGUGCACCACCGCGUGGGUCCCCCUUUGGCUUGUUCGGAGGGGGGCUUACGUUUUCACACAAACUUUGUAUGCAGUGUAGAAUGUAUUUUUUGUUUUUGCGAUCACGCAACCAAUACAACUUUCAACAACGGAUCUCUUGGCUCUC